rnacentral:lncRNA from 10 species
AACAUUCCUUUCAAUAGAGCAGUUUUGAAACCCACUUUCUGUAGAACUUCCAAGUUAAUAUUGAGAUCGCUUGGAGGCCUAUAUUAGAAAAGCAAAUACCUUCACAUAAAAACUAGACAGAAUCAUUCUCAGAAACUACUUUGUGAUGUUUGCGUUCAACUCACAGAGUUUAACCUUUCUUUUGAUAGAGCAGUUUUGAAACACUCUGUUUGCAAAAAUCAAUCUCAGAAACUACUUUGUGAUGUGUGGGUUCAACUCACGGAGUUUAACCUUUCUUUUCAUAGAGCACUUUUGAAACACUCUGUUUGUAAAGUCUG